CCGAGAACCUCAUCAUCACUUGUCCUCUCAGUGUGGAGGGUAAAGUGACGUGGAGCAGAGAGAUACAUAGAAGGAAAGUUGACUUACUUACAUCUUAUGGUGACGCAGAAAUACGACACAUCCGUGAUGCGGACAGGUACAGUUCAUUUGCAGAUGGGUUCCUGCUAAUUGUUGGCACUUCUGUGUCAGACUCUGGAACAUACCUGUGUAAUAAUCAAGCAGCUGUGGAGCUGACAGUCAUCCCAUCAGGAACAACAAGACGCAUCAUUUCAGAGAAGACGACGAGCACUCUGCACUGUCCUCAUGAUGCGGAAGAGUCGCAUGUCCCAGUAUGGAGCAGAAAACUCAGAGGACAGCAGCGACACAUCAGCCCUCACUCUUUCACUGUGGACCAGAUGUUGAUCAUUACAGAUGUUCAGCUUGGUGAUUCGGGACUGUACUACUGUGAUGGGAAACCUGCUGUUUAUCUGGAUGUGAUCAAAGAUGAGAGAUCUGAGAGAGGUAUCUUCUAUGAAGUAGCUGAGGUGAUGCAGAAGGUCGUUUUGACUUGUCCUCACAUCGUGGAGGGUAAAAUAACGUGGAGCAAAGAGAGGUAUGGAAUGGAAGUUGAUAUAUUCACAACCAGCAACGACAGAAGUGUAACAGACUUUAAUGAGCAUGAAGGCUACAACUCAUGGGUGGGGUCGCUGCUCAUUCGUAACACUUCCACCUCGGUAUCUGGAAGAUACUUCUGUGACAGGAAACCAGCCGUGGAACUGAUAGUCCCCCCAUCAGGAACAAGGAUACGUGUUGUGUCAGAGUGGACCAACACUGUUCUUACUUGUCCACAUGUUGAUGGAGGAUCAGAUGUUCAGACGUGGAGCAGAGAACUCAGAGGAGAACAACAGCACAUCUGGCCCAAUGCUUUCACUGUGAAUCACCUGCUGUUUAUCAACCAUGUUCAGCCUGCUGACUCUGGACUGUAUUACUGUGAUGGGAAACCAGCUGUCUAUCUGCACGUGACCACAGAGGAGCGCUCUGACAGAGGAGAGAAAAACAUACCCCCACCACCACCCCAACGAACAACAGCACCACCUGCAGGAGAAAACUCAAGUAUGACAACAAUAAAAAUACUGCCAGCUGCCAGUGCUACCCCUCAGACUUCCAGCAGACCCACCCGUGCUGCUGAUCACCUGUGGCACAUGACUGUCCGUACACUGAUUGGACUGCUCUGCUUAACCAUCAUGAUCAGCAUCACUGCUGUUACCUGGAGGAAAGCUCGACGGAUAGAGAAACAGAAGAGAGACACAGAAGCAGAAACCGGCCUGUGAUCCUCCAUCAUGCAGAAACAAGAGCCGUACAGACUGAAUUGGGAUCAGUUCAUCGUCAUCCAGUCACACAGCACACAGCCAUCCUGAACCUCAGAGUGACGACAGAUUGUUCAGCAUGUGAUCCAAACUUUCAGUGACCUUUGUCUCUCUCUCUUAUGUGUCGCAGACUAAACUGAGGUUAAACUGGAUAAAAGAAAAGAAAUUCAGUUAAUUGAAACUCAAAAGUAACAUAUUAAAGUACAUGUAAAGUAUUUGCUGCUCUGCCCUCUCAAUAUCCUGCAGCUCAACAGUUUCUGUCCCAUCACAGUCUAAUUUCUUUGUCUUUGCUCUUUCUGUUUCUGGAGCUGUGCUGUAUUUAGUCAACAGGCAUUAAAAACAUGUUAGAAGCUCAGUUUAGUUUUAGAUCUGUUACAUUCACUGCUUUCAAAUAGAGUGAGUCCAUUUUUGAUUUGUGUUGUUUGUGUCGAUGUUGUUUGAG
ensembl:lncRNA